rnacentral:ncRNA from 2 species
CAGCAUUGUACAGGGCUAU